CCUACGGGAGGCAGCAGUGAGGAAUAUUGGUCAAUGGACGAGAGCCUGAACCAGCCAAGUAGCGUGAAGGAUGACUGCCCUAUGGGUUGUAAACUUCUUUUAUAUGGGAAUAAAAUGUUCCACGUGUGGGAUUUUGUAUGUACCAUAUGAAUAAGGAUCGGCUAACUCCGUGCCAGCAGCCGCGGUAAUACGGAGGAUCCGAGCGUUAUCCGGAUUUAUUGGGUUUAAAGGGAGCGUAGGUGGAUUGUUAAGUCAGUUGUGAAAGUUUGCGGCUCAACCGUAAAACUGCAGUUGAAACUGGCAGUCUUGAGUACAGUAGAGGUGGGCGGAAUUCGUGGUGUAGCGGUGAAAUGCUUAGAUAUCACGAAGAACUCCGAUUGCGAAGGCAGCUCACUGGACUGCAACUGACACUGAGGCUCGAAAGUGUGGGUAUCAAACAGGAUUAGAUACCCGUGUAGUC
rnacentral:rRNA from 1 species